AAAAAAAGGUCCAAUAGUUUGUGGACAGAUUAAUUGAUAAAAAUCCAGGCCCAUUUGUGAACAAGAAACGGAUCCUUUUUUUUUUUCAAAUUUAAUUGGAAAUUUUGUUUUUUAAGGAUUGAAAACUUAUUAUUAGAUGGGCUUGGGCUGGCUUUUUGUAUGUUUUCUCCAAAGAAAAAUAUUUUAGGGGCUAAAAUUAGAAAAUAUUAAGGUAGAGGGGUAGGUUUUGACAUAGUUCACAAAAUAAGGGGUCUAAAGGGAAUAUUCAGAACAAGCAAGGCUUUUUUAACCUUUAAAUACCUCAUAAUCCACGCUAAGGAACAUUGCGUCAUCAUAGUUUUCUUCGUAACCACGAUUACAAUCUGUUGUUUCAUAGAACCCUAGCCCUAAUUACCAAAUUCAAACCCUUUCGAAGAUUUCAAUCAAAUCUCUAUUACGUUUUCCUCAUCCAAUGGGUAGCGAAUCCAUUGAGCCCACGCGCCAGAAGCAUCACCGAUCAUCCUCCCCCGACGAUGCGGAUGAGCGCUCGAAACGCCGGAAGCAUCGAGACAGCCGCCAGCGUCGCCAUCACCGCCGCCACCGAAGCGAGCGUGAGAAAGAGGAAGCGAGAACGGAAUCUCAGGAAGGAUUGGAAGGUGGAGAAGUUGAUCACGUCGAGGUUGAGGAAAUAAAAUUAGAAAAUAAUGGGAGCGCCGGAGAUAGUUCCGUGGGUGAAGAUGUGGUGUUGAGAGUGGAUUACGACAUGGAAGAAGGGGAGAUUGUGGAGGAUGAUGGUCCAGUUGGUUAUGUUAAUGGGGGUUUUGAGAAGGUGAAGAGGAAUGUUGAGUCUGAUGUUGAGUCGGGGGAAAUUCACAUGAAUGGGUACGAUAAUUCCAAUAUGGGAGUUACUCAAGAGAAUGUGGAAAGGGUUGAUAAAAACUUGAAGAACAUUGGAAAGGACAGCAUGGAAGACAAUGAAAUCGGGGAGGUGGAUAGAGUGAGAGUAUCUCGUUCUGAGGGUCAUGCAGAAGUGACUUGCGAAAAUAAACACCACAAAGAUAAUGGAGUUCCCGUCAAAGAGGGUAAGAGGAGAAGGGGCACUGAUGAUGAAGUUGAGAGAAGAUAUCAAAAGAAAUCUUUGUGUUCUGAGAAAAGACACAAUGCUGUUGCACAUCCAUAUUCAAAUGACAAGUAUAUGAAAGGGGGUCCUGAUAGUAACUUAUUGGAGUCUCCUGAAUCGUCUAAGGUGGGUUCGCGUUCGCAAGAUACUUCCGUUGUGGGUACUGCAAGUACGAUGGGUGACCCAUUCUAUAUUGCUAGGGAACGGAGAAGUGAGUGUGAUGAUGAAAGAAUCGUUGCCCGUGACAUCAGCUACAAACAUAACAGCAGAUAUGAUGAAGGGGAUAAAGAAAAAGAGUGUAGGUCUAGCAGAUUUACUGGGAGAGCGGAUAGAAAUUAUAGCAGGGAUACUAAUGACAGGUAUAGGGAGGAGAGCAGAGACAGGGAUUGGGAUAGGACUAGAAAGAAAGAAAGGGAGGAGAAGGAGAAGAGUGGGGAAAACAGAGGAAGGUCCAGAACUCAAGAUAGAUAUUGGGAGGAAAGGGAGAUUGUGAGAAACAGGGCUAGAGACAGGGACACAGAGAGAGACUGGGAAAGAGAGAGGGAGAGGGGCCGAGAUAAAUUAAGAGAGGAGAGGAACAAGGGCAGGGAUAGAAGUAGUGAAGGAAUUAGAGAUGGCGGUUGGGGUAGGCACAGAUACAAUGAUAGAGAUAAUGAUAGUGACAGGUCAAGCAAGCAUCAAAUAUAUGACAAUGAUGAGGAUGUCUACAGGGAUAAGGGUAAUAGUUCGAGGCAUAGAAGAAACUCUGAAGAUCUCUAUAGAGAGAGAUCAAGGAGAAAUGAUUUAGGAAAUGGAAAAUCUAUACCUAAUCCUGAGGAUAGGGAUAAUGACGAGGUUCUUAAAAGAGAACAAGACAAAGAAGAGGACUUUCAGGAAAAUAUUGUAAUGCAACUUGCAGAAGAGGAAGAAGAUGAUCUUGAGAGAAUUAAGGAGGAAAGCAGGCGGCGCAGGCAAGCUAUCCUCGAAAAGUACGAAAAACAACAUGCAGACCAACAAAAAGGAACUCAGUCACAAGUUACAGUUGAGGAACAAGUUGGCCAGCCUUCUAAACAUGCAGAAUCUGCCGAAGUUAUUCUUGAAAAUAUUCACAUUCGAGUGGAAGCCGUAGAUACACCUGAUGCCGAGUCAUCCUUUUCUGUUGGUAAAUCACCUGCACAAAAUGGUCUUUCUGCUCUUGAGAAGCGUACUGGAACUGGAGGACUUGGAGAUGGUACCCCUAAGAGUGAGGGAUCAGUGGAUAUGUUCUGUGAUGAUAUGUUUGCAGCAUCCCCUGCUGGAGUUCAGAAAACGGGCAAAGGAGAUGGUUUGGCUAUUGAAACAAGUGAACUGCACGACAAUUGGGAUGACGCAGAAGGUUACUAUGGUUACCGUAUUGGAGAAAUUCUAGAUGGUCGUUAUGAAAUAGUUGCUGCUCACGGAAAAGGUGUCUUUUCUACUGUUGUUCGUGCAAAGGAUCUCAAGGCUAAACUUGGUGACCCUGAAGAAGUGGCAAUUAAAAUCAUACGCAAUAAUGAGACAAUGUACAAGGCGGGAAUGGAAGAGUUGGUGAUACUGAAGAAGUUAGUUGGUGCAGACCCUGACAACAGGCGCCAUUGUGUUCGUUUUCUUUCCACAUUCAAGUAUCGGAAUCAUCUUUGUUUAGUUUUUGAAUCUCUUCAUAUGAAUUUACGUGAAAUUCUCAAGAAAUUUGGUCGUAAUAUUGGUCUGAAGCUUACUGCUGUGAGGGCAUAUGCAAAGCAACUCUUGAUAGCACUGAAACAUUUGAAAAACUGUGGGGUUCUUCAUUGUGAUAUCAAGCCAGAUAAUAUUCUGGUGAACGAAGCAAAAAAUGUAUUGAAACUUUGCGACUUUGGCAAUGCCAUGUUUUCUGGUAAAAAUGAAAUAACCCCUUACCUUGUGAGCCGUUUCUAUCGCGCCCCAGAGAUAAUUCUGGGACUCCCUUACGACAACCCCAUGGAUAUGUGGUCGGUGGGUUGCUGCUUGUUUGAGAUCUACACCGGAAAGGUUCUCUUUCCUGGUCCUUCCAAUAAUGACAUGCUUCGCCUUCACAUGGAACUAAAAGGCCCAUUCCCAAAGAAGAUGCUCCGGAAGGGAGGAUUCGUGGAUCAUCAUUUUGACCAGGAUUUGAAUUUCCUUGCAACAGAAGAGGAUCGUGUGACAAGGAAGACAUUAAGGAGACUGUUAGUUAAUAUCAAGCCAAAAGAUUUUGGCACAAUAAUUUUGGGAUCUCCUGGCGAGGACCCAAAAAUGCUAGCUAACUUUAAAGAUCUUAUGGAAAAGAUCUUUGUGCUGGAUCCAGACAAAAGGUUGAACGUAUCACAAGCACUAAGUCAUCCCUUCAUCACGGGCAAGUGAACUUGAUGCUGAUCUCUGACUACAGAACUGCUGUUGCACUAGAUACUUGUACAUUUUGAUGUGAUCUCUCAAUAAUUAUCUUUUUGUUUUCGUAAUGAUUGGGCAUUUCUGUCUUUGAAUUCUCUGUGCUGGAGCAAGAUCUGAGAACAGAACGGUUGGGCGCGGUUGAAGUUCUUACAGAUGAUCUUGGGAAGCCAUCUAACUGGAAGUUCUUUCCAUCGAUAGUUUUCUGUUUCUAUUGAAAUCCGCUUGUGCUUUGCGGAAACCAGUUUAGAUGAAUAAAGGCACUCUAGAGAAGGAUUACACGGGCGUAGAUCUUCUUUGCUGCUCUGAAGUGUUCAAGUAUUUCAGGUAAAAUCAUUUUGCUUCUCCAACCCUGGUAAGUACUUCUGCUUUUGUACUUUGUAUAUUUACGUUAAUUUAUUUAAUCAGUAGUUAAAAUUGGGUUGACAACACACUUAUGUCCCGUCUUUUUUCACAUACUCAUUCAUGUCAUGUUAUCUUUUUGUAACUUUGAAGCAAUUCAAUGUUGGUCAGAAUUUUCGACUGCAAACAGUUUUUGUAUGGUACUCUUGAUUUUAAUCAAUGGUCUUGUCUUGUAGUACUUGAGUUCAUUUAUGGAAGUUGUGUAUUACUAGUUACUGUCAGAUUGGUUAUCAGUUCAAUGACUUGUCUUCGUUUUCGAGUAGAUUUAGGUUUCUUUUGAAACGGCCCGAGUAUGGUUUGUGUCUAUAUAGUCCUAACUUGUGCAUAUUGUCGAAAUAAUGUCGAUUGCUAUUUUAUUAGUGUUAAUGUGGAUUACAGUCUUCUUUUGUUUCUGGGAAUCGUUCAGACAAAGAUUUGUCUUUGUUAAUGAUGUGUUGAAGGGAUCUCAUUUACUACAGUGGGAAUUCUUGGAAUUUUGUCUCUGCAAUUUAGAAAUACUUUCCCAGUUGUUUUGAGGUAAUUUCUUAAGGCAGGCACAGACACACACACACACACACACACACACACACACACACACACACACACACACACACAUGGACACCUGGACUUAGGGUUUGGGGUAGAAUGUUCUUGAUUCUUCUAGACGUUGCAUAAUUUGGACCAUCUCAGUUGAGAUUCCUUGUAAUACUUGACUUCAUUUUUUUCAAGUCAAUUGAUUUGAUUAGCAGGUCAUCAAUU